UUCGUUGUAGCUACUUCAGGCAUGGUGCACAUACAUCUGGUUGUGGUGGUCGGCAAGCAACCUUCUGUCCUUACUGAAUGCGUCAUCUACCUUCUGGUGGUCGUCAAUCGAUGGUGUACACCGUGUCCAGCAUGUGGUUGUGCUUGCACAUUUAAUGCUGCCGAGAAGCUACACAUAUUUGGCAUUCGCGGCCGAGCCGCUCACCAUCAUGGAGUUGGAUCACACUAGACCUCAAUGGCAUGCUCUGCCAUGUGGCCUCCUUGAUGCUGGUCGUCGAGCACUGAUUCGACUAGACUAUCGCGCACAUAUUGAUCACAUUUGAUAAACAAGCUAUGAUCGUUGGAGAGUACCCCUCAGAUAUAUAGGUGCUUUGAUCUGAAGGAUUGGUUUGUGAUACGUCAUUGAUUCAUCGUUGACACAAAUAUGAAAGCACACUAGAAAGAUAAACAUAGGAGAUCAUAGCUGAAGGGUGGGUUUCCAACGACGGUGGUGUGCUGCCUUUCUUCCAGUGCCGACAAGAUGGCUAGUUUGUCGCCCCGUAACCCUGGUGGUGGGCUCCCAUGACUGCCUCCUGGGUUACCUACCACUUAGUGUUGUACUUGCACAUGUAAUGCUGCGCAAGAAGGUACACAUACUCGAGCCAGGCCAUGAGCCGACUCACUAUGAUGAAGCCUGACGCUAAGUUGGAUCACACUGGGGCUUCAAUGAUAUGCUCUGCCCGGUGGCCUCCAGGAUCAGCCUCGACUCAUGAAGAACACCCAAGGGACCUGACUUAAUGAUGAGGAUGAUGUUGGAGGAAUCGGAGUGGUCACUGAAGAUCGUGGACUCGCAUCCGCCAUUGCUGGAAGUUUGAACUUCGAGAGGGCAGAGCGAUCCCGUAUGAGAAGACCACCGAUGUGAUCAUAGCAUUUUCUCUGGGCGUACCUUCUGGCACGACACCACCAUCCGACACAAGUUUGGCCGGCGAAGCAGCUCUGCUUGCUCUGGCACUUACUUUGACGCCUCUGGUGGCUGUUGGUCCUCUUCUCUGCUCUCUCUCAAGCUCUAUGACACUUGAUACUUGUUGAGCAUUCUUGCUGGACGCACCUUCCGGGACCAUGGUGUCAUCCCACACUAGUUUGGCCGGCGAAGCAGCUCUGCCUGCUCUGUCGCUCACUCCAACGCCUCCCGCGCUGCCCCUCCGGUGGCCGCUUCCUCUU